rnacentral:rRNA from 1 species
UACGUAGGGGGCAAGCGUUGUCCGGAAUGACUGGGCGUAAAGGGAGUGUAGGCGGCUUAUCAAGUCAGAUGUGAAAUCCCGCGGCUCAACCGCGGAACUGCAUUUGAAACUGUGCUUCUUGAGUGCUGGAGAGGCAGACGGAAUUCCUAGUGUAGCGGUGAAAUGCGUAGAUAUUAGGAGGAACACCAGUGGCGAAGGCGGUCUGCUGGACAGUAACUGACGGUGAGGCGCGAAAGCGUGGGGAGCAAACAGG